rnacentral:lncRNA from 1 species
ACACAGUCAGCUUUCAUGCUCCUCUCUUAUCUUCUCCUGCCAUGUAUGUAAUUAUCAAAAGUGUUUAUUUAGAAACUUCACUUGCUUGAGAUUUCUCUUCUGCAGGAAACGCUCAGAGCCAAAUGCAAGGUGCACUUAGGUGCCACCUCCCAGAGGUCUGAGCACCAUGCUGAUGUCUUCUGUCUCCAUAGCUCAAAAACUAGUGCUAUAAAGUGGAGCAAGACUUGGUGUUCACAGACACCCUCAGCCCAGGAGCAUCCGUGAUGAUUAACUUGUGACAGAGAUUGAAGAAUAUGUGGGUAUCUCUUCUCCUAUGAUCAGCUAGGAGCUGAUGAUGCUUCAAGUUUAAGCAUUUGGCAUGGAAGAUCAGGUGCAGGUGGUUGUUCAUUUGAUGAGCACUACAGUAAUUGUGGUUAUAGUGUGGCCUUGGGAACCAAUGGAUUUACCUGGGAGCAGAUCAAUACCUGGGAAAAGCCAACAAUGGAUCCUGCUGUCCCAACCGUUUGGAGACAGUGACUCCCGAACAUCUGCUAGCUUGGGAUACUCCUUGUCUGCCCAUCCUGUUCUGACCAAGGUCACACUGCUCCAAAUCUUUG